rnacentral:lncRNA from 1 species
GGACCUUCCAUUCUUCCUAUGCAUGCUCCCCCACUUCCUGUGUAUUUUUCCAUUCUGCAGAGGUGCUGUUCCCAUUUGCUGCAAAGAUUACCUAGAUGCCCUUGAAUUAUGGGGAACAAGAGCUUGGACACGUGCACACUGUACCUUCUUGGUCCCUUUGCGGUGGGCCGAUUCCAGCCCUGGAGCCUGGCACCACCUGGCGCUGCUGUCCCUCUGCCCACGCUGGGAAAACACCGUUGUAAAUGCUCCUGAACGCAUGCACCCUGUUCUGGUUCCCCUCGGCCCCUGCUCAGGCUUGACCACACCUCUGUCCUGGCCGCUGGGGCUGGCAGCGGAGCUCGGUGGUUUUGAUGGGGGUGACCGGGCCAGGUGUUGUUGGCCUGAGGACCCAGAGGCCUGAAUGGUGAGCAAGAGCCGAUUCCUUGCACUCUCCUUGUUUUACAUCAACGCGUCUAUGAGCGCUAGUUCUGUUCUGCAACAUACGGAUCUACUCUAUUUGAAGCCUUGAAUUCUUCACUAGAGGGUCUUGUUUUCAUGCUUUGGGACGGGGACUCAUCCAAUUUUCCAGGCAGCCUUUGAACUCUCAGUCCUCCUGCAUUAGCAUCCCACAUAACUGGCCACGACACACAGCUGAGACCACACGCAUUCUAACCAGCCACUGGGCACAGCACUGAAGCUGUUUCUGUAAGCCAGGGUGCUGGCCAAGCCUCUCCACUCGUCCCCGCGAGCUGCGGUGCUGGGUGCCCCGCUCUGGUCAUCCCCGCGAGCUGCGGUGCUGGCUGGCCCUCUUUGGCUGGGUAUCAAAGUCGGCUUCUUCCAGGGGCUGGCACACCGGAUGGCUCACAUCCCCAGGCCCUAUGGCAUAAACCCGUCACGAGGAGCUGUCUGUUGGUUUACUGCAAGGCCUUUCUGAGCCAUAGGUUAAUAUAUUAAUGAAGACAGUGGCUGCUCCCCUACAUUAAAUAAUGACUGUGAAUGAUUGGAAGAAAAACAUCUUCAUGUCCCCCUGCAGGGUGUGAGAUUGAUGAGAAUGGAUUGCCCUGCCAAGAGACUCAAAAAUAUUACAACCUUUUAUUCCUCUGCAGCGUGGACAAGUGUGUAUUCAUUUCUAUGUUAUUACAAAAAACCCUCUUCCAAUGAUUCUGAGCUAAAAACACAUUAA